CAAGCUGUAGGAUCAGCCAGCAACAAUAUUGAGGACAGGGGAAAAAGGAGAUGCUACUGUGAUCUCUGUAGAAAGCAGUAAGGCAGUGGAGCAAUGAACUUCUCCUUCCAUCCAGAUCCAGUCUUGUGGUCUGAGGCUGGUUUUCUCUUCAGAUGGAAGAAGAAUUCUCUCACAUAAACAUUUGUAAAGGCACCGUAUUAAUAUUGAGAUCAUGAAGACUUAGAAGAACUUGUUUCCCCAAUUAUAGCAUUUAUGUGAGGUGAGAAACAAGAGACCUGCAUGAUUAUCUGGGCCUCAGAAUUGUGAGAAGAAAUGUUAUCACCUUAAUAAGAAGACUAUCAGAGACCCUCCAGCUCUCAGGCAAGGAGAGAGACCAGACCAAUUAUCCUGAUUCAGCCUCAGAAAUAAUGGACUUGAAUGGAAUUUCAAAGCAUGCUGAAGGACACUGGAAGUGAAUGAGAAGCUGAGGAGUUAGUGAACCAUCAUUAUUGUACAUUGGCCUUUGUGUACACUAGCCAGCAAUAAGUACUGUGAUCAACACUGGUUCUCAAGUUAAUAUCCUCUCCUUAUUGCGUAGAUUCUCUCAAUUUUUCUGACCUCUGUUGUCAGUUGAGAAGCAGGGAUAGGAAUUCAAGUGACAAUGGAAAAAACAAACGUUAUGAGAGUGAGAUUAAACAAGGAGUUCCUUCUCCAGGGGCUAUACUGAAGUUGCGUUACAGAUUGACUAUUAUCCAGUUUUAAAUCCAUUUUGAAAUAAUCUUAGAGAGAAGCUAGUUAAUGUGACAUAGCUAAAGCAGAUGCCCCAAGCCUGGCAUGAUGUUGUUUUAGGCUAGGCUUUGGAACUGAAACUCUACAUGGGGGAUCUUGUCAUAUAGGACACAGGGCUCUAAACUGCGAGGAACAUACCUGUGAACUUUGAUGCAGCUGGUUACAUAUUCCCCUAAGCUUCUUAACUGUCGAAUUCUGUAUUUGGUCCUUUUCAGUACCUACUUAAUACCAAAUUCUGUGUCUGCACUAUCUUAAGUGGUCUAAAAAUGAUUCUUGGCAGAAAAGAGUUCACAGUUGUGCACAAGAGCAAACUAGCUCAGUCCAUAGUUUGGUCUUAGAUUCUUCCCUGACACUGAACUCCUGCAAGCAGCAGCUCAGGGUGAAAUCUUCAGUGCUGUUUCUUUGAUGAACUUUCCACAAUCAGAAUUAAAGUAGACUUGGAGAAGAUUGCAUUUUCUGAAUAGCUAGUCUGGACUUUCCUGUGAACUCUUUCAAAGCAAAAGACUAGCCCAAACCUCCUACCAAC